AACGAACGCUGGCGGCAUGCCUAACACAUGCAAGUCGAACGAGACCUUCGGGUCUAGUGGCGCACGGGUGCGUAACGCGUGGGAACCUGCCCUUAGGUUCGGAAUAACUCCCCGAAAGGGGUGCUAAUACCGGAUAGUGUCUUCGGACCAAAGAUUUAUCGCCUUUGGAUGGGCCCGCGUUGGAUUAGCUAGUUGGUAGGGUAAAAGCCUACCAAGGCGACGAUCCAUAGCUGGUCUGAGAGGAUGAUCAGCCACACUGGGACUGAGACACGGCCCAGACUCCUACGGGAGGCAGCAGUGGGGAAUAUUGGACAAUGGGCGAAAGCCUGAUCCAGCAAGGCCGCGUGAGUGAUGAAGGCCUUAGGGUUGUAAAGCUCUUUUAACCGGGAUGAUAAUGACAGUACCGGGAGAAUAAGCUCCGGCUAACUCCGUG
rnacentral:rRNA from 1 species